GACGAACGCUGGCGGCGUGCUUAACACAUGCAAGUCGAACGAAGUGGCGAACGGGUGAGUAACGCGUAAUCAACCUGCCCUUCAGAGGGGAACAACAGUUGGAAACGACUGCUAAUACCUCAUACUGAAGGAGGGGCUUGCGUCGGAUUAGCUCGUUGGCGGGGUAACGGCCCACCAAGGCGAUGCUCAGUAGCCGGGCGGGGAGGAUGAACGGCCACAUUGGGACUGAGACACGGCCCAGACUCCUACGGGAGGCAGCAGUGGGGAAUCUUCCGAAAUGGACGAAAGUCUGACGGAGCAACGCCGCGUGAGUGAUGACGGCCUUCGGGUUGUAAAGCUAUGUUAAUCGGGACGCGGUACCGGAAUAGAAAGCCACGGCUAACUACGUGCCAGCAGCCGCGGUAAUAC
rnacentral:rRNA from 1 species